rnacentral:rRNA from 1 species
UGACCCGUCUUGAAACAAGGACCAAGGAGUCUAGCAUGUGCGCAAGUCAUGAGGUGUUAAACCUAAAGGCGCAACUAAAGUGAAGUCCCCGAGACUCAGGGCGCCUUGCGUGUCCUCUCUCUGUUGGGACUGGGGUGAUGGUCGGCGCUGCUUCUGCAUCCGACCCGCAACCCCGGGAUGUCUACGUCUCGUUGAGACCGGAUGUCCUCUGAGCGUACAUGUUGGUACCCGAAAGAUGGUGACCUAUGCCUGGCCAGGACGAAGUCAGGGGAAACCCUGAUGGAGGUCCGAAGCGGUUCUGACGUGCAAAUCGAUCGCAUGAGCUGGGUAUAGGGGCGAAAGACUAAUCGAACCGUCUAGUAGCUGGUUCCUUCCGAA